CUCCAGCACCAGGAUGCUGAUGGCAUGGGCAGUGGGGUGAGGGUGCCUUCGUUUUCAGAUAUCCUGGUUGAAGCCAGGCUGAAUUACUGAGAACCAAAUGAAUGUUAUCACUUAGCACCUUAAUUAUUUUAUUUAGCUGCUGUGGCCCUUUGCAUAGGAUUCCUCAUUAACACUUAAUUUACAGUGCCCUUUAGGGAUAAUUUCAAACAAUUCAGCUUAGUCUCCCCCUUCCCCCCUUCCAAAUGAACAAGUAAAUCACUCACAGUGACUAAUUAGGACUUUCCUUUCAGCUAAAUGAAGUCUGUAAACCUGACUGUGGAUGCAGAGGUUUUUCACGUCUCCCUCAGAAUGCCUGGCCUUGGGGAUGCCUCAGGUGCCUGGGAUAGGGAUGAGACAGGACAUGGAGCUCCUGAAAGGUGCUGAAUCUUCACUUGUGUGGCUCUGAUGGAGAGGGCACCUGGCGUGGAGGCACAUAUCCUGAGAUGAGUCUGCCCCUUUGCCCUCUCCAAGGACAGCCCCCAAAUCCCUCUGAAAUGACAGCAGUUGUGGCAAACAGGGCUUUGUUGUCCAAAUCUGACGGCAAGCUGGCCACUAAAUAACAGUGGCAUCACUGGGGUGACAUCUCUUGCAUUUUGUGGGCUGAAUUGUGCCUUUUCUUCCCUUUUUCCCUAUUUUAAUGCUGAAAUAAGUCACCCAUGGGCCCGGGGGCUGCAGAGCAGCCUUGCUGCACAGCUCUCUCCUUGGGUACCCCAGCAGAGGGUGCCCGUGGCUCAGAUUUGCUCAUUCUCAGAGGAAAGAUUCAGCACUUGAGGCUGACUGAAUCCUUCCUUUGGAGCAGCAGGGAUGAGGAUAAAGCCAUUUCUGUAUUCUUGACCUAUAGGUAAGUAUAUACAUUUCCAAUUUCAUAGGAACUGCUGUUUCUCCUUUUACUUUCUUGCUUAUUUGAGCAGUACUUUAACAGAAGAGGCACUUUACUGGCAUUGUGUGUGAUUGGGAAAGCCGAAUGCUGUAGGACUAUUCUCAGCCAUUCCAAAUGAGGAGGCAGGUGAGUAACUAUGGAGCAGCUGUUUUACUUCUAGGAGGCUCCCAAAAGCCUUUGAAACCUCAAUGCCCACACCAGUUCUCCCAACAGAGUGAUGGGGUACAUGGAAGUUCCCAUUUGUCUAUCGAACAUUGCAACUCUCCUGCGGAUUUCCUUGUGCAGCUGCUGUAUCCAUGGAGCACCUUGACUCGGCACUGGAGUAUCAGGCAAGGAUUACAGGCAGUUGCAUAAGGCUUGGAUUUUGAGAGACAGGGAUUUAAGCGUGUAACUAGGUCUGCAGCUCAGACUUCUUUGCUUGAGAGCUGCAAUACAGGCUCUUGUGAGUGCAGUAAUCCCACUCUGGAUGGCUCUGCUGUUCCCAUGGAGCCUGUUUCCCUCAGUGGGAAGUUCUGCCCUCACUUUGUCUCACUGGGAUCCCCCCUCUGGCCAGCUUUUGGGUGCAUCUGCCAUGGAUGAUGCUUUCUCCUGCUUCAGGCUGAAGCCUGUGAGGAGCACAGGGACCUCUGCACACUCACACCUUUGGAGAUGGAGCUUUGUGCUGUGUGACUUGCCCUGAUCUAAUAAAUGCGAGCCAUUAAUUGGAUCAUUGCCCACUUCUCCAGUUAAUUUCCUGGGUAUUUUUAAAUGUUAAAAUGUAGUUUUUAUAGUCUUUCAUUAUUUUUAGCCUUAAGCUUCACUAUAAUCGUCCCUGUAAUGUAACUGUAAAAACCUCCCAGCUUUGUAUCAUAAAAGGAAGACAUUAAUUGUCAUUUCUUGUGUACAUCAGCAAGAUCAAAACAUGCUUCCUGAUUACUUCUGUGUGUACAUACCGUCUCUUUGAUAUUUAGAUAUGAAUAAAGUGUGCGUGUGUAAUGUGAAAGUCAGCUCUUCCCUCCCUGCUGCUUGGCAGAGGCUUAUUUACCAAAUGGAGUUUAAAAUGUAGUCAGUGCCCUUCCAAAAUGAUUUCUCAACAAUCAGAGUGUUUCUGAGCACAGUGGCACCAUAUUUGUCCCCCUUAGGUCAGAUGAUGCGUCCAGGGCCUCAGCCUUUUAGCGCUCAGACAGGGGCAAGCACAAACCUUUUCAUCUCCCAAAAUCACCUCCAGGGAGAACUGGCUGCAAGAGAAACUCCUGCCCUGCAUUUUGCUUUAGUUCAAGGGUUAACAACACAUAAGGAGGAAUCCCAUUCCCUCCAAUCUAUCGCUGGGUUGCAGUGAGGAUUCCUGAGGCUGGAUUUGGCACAGGGAACACCUCUCCUUGCAAAGCUUAGAAGGGCUGAAGGGAAUAACCUGGGGUGCUGCUGAGUGUAGGAGCCCACAGGGCCCCUUCCUCGCUGGUGGUGAGGAAUCCUCUGCUGCGCCACAGCCCUACUCCCAGUUUGUAAAUGUAAUCAACCUCGAGGUCUUGUUUCUUCCACAGGUGCAAUUAACAUCACCAUCUGCUAAUCCCUGAUUAACGAUGUUUACAAAUAUGCUACAACAUGUUAAAAUGUGCUGGCACUAUUAUUUCCAUUCCCUUUUUCUCCUCUCCUUGUUCCAUUGCGGCUUUCCCGACGAAGGCUUCCAUGCAUCCCACCCUUAAUGCACAGACAGUUUGGUUUCCCUCUUUAAAAGCACUGCUCAACUCCAAAGGAGCUGUAGGAAUGAGUUCAAAUCAGAAGGGAAAUUCCAGCUCCUGUCCUCUGCUGCUGAGUAGAUCUUUAAGCCGGUAAUAACGUGAGACAGAGGGAAAUUAACGGCCUCGUCCUGCUCUUCCCUGCCUGAAAACGGCGGAAUUAAAGAAUUAUAAAGAGAGGGGAUGAGGAGGGCAGGCUGCCUUCCUCUGCCACCCAGUGUUGCUGCAGUGAUGCCGUGCGGGUGCUGCACCCCAUGUGCUUCACUGGGGAUGUAAGUCCGGGAUGGGGACACACACACACACACAGAGUGGGACCAGGGCGGCGGUGGCCUUUGUCUGCCUGUGCCAAACAGAUGUGAACAAACCCGAGUUCGAUUUCCAAGACCGCCUGGGGAAUAUUGCAAACUAAUUAUAGCAAACAGAAGAUGCUCUCCCCUCCUCUUGCAGUUUUUGAUAAACAUUGUCUCCUCUCCACAGCUGAGUAUUUAAUUAGUGUUGAUUGUUGUUCGGGUGUUCAAUAACCACUCAUCAGGAGGGGGGUGUCCGCUGGGGCAGCGUGGCCUGGAGCACACAGGAGCCGAGGGUGUUCAUAAUUAAGGAUGCAAUUUAUUUGACAGCAGCCUCCUCUGGGGAAGCGAGCGGCAGCAUUCCCUGUGCUGGGUGUGCUGAGCUCCGGAGCACUUGGGAAAUGCAUAGACCGACGUGGGCUUUUUGGCUCUUAAUAGGCAGUAGGGACGAUCUCUGUGCUGAGCCUCUUCCUAAGGGACAGGCAUGGUCCCGUGGUGAGCUGAGCCUUGGAGCACGGAGGGAGGAGGAUGAGGAUGCCGGGCGCGCUGCCUCAGCUCUGGUGACACAUCCCUUGUCUCCCAGAUUUACACUCUUAUCUUUUUGCAUUGAAAGCCCUAUGUGAAGAUGGAGAAGGUGGCAGGAGAUGCUGGCAGACAUGAAUGCAAUAGGGGAGCCAGGCCUGUUAAGCCAAUCCCUGUGCAAAGGAUGCCACGAGGGAUGCAGCAAAGGAUGCCAUGAAGGA